UACAGAGGUCCCAAGCGUUGUUCGGAUUCACUGGGCGUAAAGGGUGCGUAGGUGGCGGGGGAAGUCGGAUGUGAAAGCUCGGAGCUCAACUCCGAAAUGGCAUUGGAAACUACCUUGCUCGAGGGUUGGAGGGGGGACUGGAAUUCUCGGUGUAGCAGUGAAAUGCGUAGAUAUCGAGAGGAACACCAGUGGCGAAGGCGAGUCCCUGGACAACUCCUGGCACUGAGGCACGAAAGCUAGGGGAGCAAACAGG
rnacentral:rRNA from 1 species